rnacentral:misc_RNA from 1 species
GCCUAGCACUAGCUCUCUAAACCUCUAGACUCUAGUAAACUUACUAAACUAUUAAUAAAUUUAAAAAAAAAAAAUUAUCGAUCGCCAUCGACGCCGUGUUGCUUGGGCCACACGACUCCUAACUGUAACUAAAAUGUUGACUUCAGUACAAAGUGGCAAAGCAGAAGUUCUUCCUAUAAAUUACCCUUUUGGAAAUACCCGAAGUCGAAAUGUGCUGCAAGACUUUAAUUGUGAAGCAGGUGGUUUUAACCCAUGCGAUUAUUCCUUGAAGGUUCUCUUUCUGGGUAGUGGUGACCUGAGAAACGCUCUUCAGGUUGCAAAAAACGAAAGUUUCAAUCACAUGCAAAUCCAUUUAAAUGACCGAAAUCCAUUAGUGGUAGCUCGUAACAUCACUAUUUUGAAAAUAAUAUCAGCACCGGAUUUCAAUCCAGAAGAUGAUGAAGACAUAGCUUUCCUUUGGGAUGUUUGGUAUAAUCUUGAAUGGCCAGAAGUCACCCGGAAGAGAUUUCAAGGAGUGUUGAAGGACCUGUUGAAUGAUGUGUUCCCUGAAAAUGUCUCAGUCCCCAAAACUAGUCAGUCUGAAAUGUUAAAGGAAGUGUGGAGUUCUUGGCUUUCUGUUUCGUCAAAAACUGAAUCUGAAGCUAGAGUUUUAAUGGAAAAAGUAGGCUCUGAAAGGAAACUAAGGGUUAUUCAACAAUGGGGAAACAAGAAUAAAGGAGAAAUGGAAAACGCGUCAAACGUUGAUAUCUUUUCAACGAUCAUUGAUGAAUUAGCUUCUUAUUUGGAAAGAAGUAUUGGGCUUGAAGGGUUGAACGAUUCGGCGAGGCAGAACAUCCGUGAAGAAGCUAAGCGCUAUUUUGAAAAAGGUAGCUGUCGACUUGAAAACGAUACCAAGAUCGUUUGUCUUAAUCCAACAAUGGUUGACCACGUAAUGCUUUUUUGGACAAUCCAUUAUUCCCUGUGCCCAUUUGACGGAUACUUGCCGUUCCUGAAAGAAGAGCUGGUCACUUCAAUGAAGAACGAGAUGAUGAUACGUUCCUGCCAGAAAAUUCUCAAAAACCUGUUGUCUUGCUAUCGAAAACGCCUCAUCGACGGAAAAACCUUUGAAUUCUUAUUUUAUUUGGAGGAUGCCAUAGAGUUCUGCUAUUCUGAAAACGUCAACAAGUUCGACGUAAUUGACUGCUCAGAUUUUGCCGAUCAAGCUGGAUUAGUGAAUUUGAUCCUCGCAUGUAGUGGAAAGCUGUCCGAUCAUCCAUCGGCAAUGUUGUUCACCGAAACUUUUAGGUGGUUCCCAUUUGGAAAGGGAUCUGUGAAGUUUUACCUCGAGAAAGUCCUCUGUUGCCCGUUGAGCAUGAUACCAACUAUAUAUGGAUUGCGUCUCAAAAGCUGCAUUGAACUUGGAUUUCCUGAAUAUGUUGACUUGCGACGUCCAAUGUCGCCCCCUGUUAACCUUUGCUGGCAAAAAGCACUUCCUUUUCUAAACGUUGUCAUGUCAGCCUCUCCUGCACUGAGCGAGUUCCUGAAUAAGCUAGCGAACGUUUGCUUUGAUGCAAAGUUUCCUUUACGAAUAACAUCCGAUUGUGGCAUGUUGCUGUACACCCCACAAACCUUCAGCUACGUAGUGAACUCGAUGAUUCAACGGCUUGGAGGAGACCAUUGGCUGAAGAAUGAUGUCAGGCCGGCGGAGAUGCACAACAAUUUUCAAUUGGCUAGACGAACACUUGAUGCGUGGAAAGAGGGCCAGAAGAUUCUUAAGUUAUCCGCAAAGAUUCCUUCUUCGUCUUUUAACAAAUUCUUGCAUCGUGCUGUUGUAUCAGGAGUUCCAACGCUUCGAUUGAUACUCCUGCCGAAAGCGAAGCAUGGGAACAGUUACGACUUUUCUGGACCAGGUGUGCAUUUCAUCGACAACUUUCAAGUGAAAAUGAAAAUAUCCUCAACCGAAUGGAAAGACGUAUCAAUUUAUUUUCUCCUGAUUGCUAAUCACGGGCUCGAAAAAACUCAUCGUGCUAUCAUCGUAGAUAUACACCAUGGAUCAGAAGUUGUCGUCUUUGAGUCGUUUGAAUCCGUGCAGGUCGAGGACUGGAGUUUUCCUUAUCCGUUUGUUCCUUCAAAAAUCCAACCAGAGAUUCCUGCUCCUGGAGAAUUUCACAUGAAGGUCGACAGUUGCGUCGAGUCCGAAGAUCAGUUCGAUCUGAAAGUAAAUCUUAUUUCAUCCGUAAAUGGCUGUGGCUUGAAUAUAGAACCAAAUUAUCAGGUGCCUUGUGAAUCCAGUCACGAAAUUACUGUGGAACUGAUCCAGAUUGAAAAUUUCAAGCCGUUGUCGCUGUCAUUUCCGUAUCCGAUCCUUGCCGAAGAGAUCCGCAUUACCCUUGAUCGCAGCUGCCACCAUCUUUAUUUAGUGCUAAAGAAAACAUUAUGGGAACCAUGGCCGUGUGAGUACCGACCUGCUGACAAUUUGCACAGCGUCUUAGAUCCAGAUCAACUAAAACCUUGGAAAGAAGAAGAAUCAUUUCAACCGUCCUUGAAAAAUCACUUUAGAAACCAGUUCAACAUUAAUGAUCUGAAGAAUACUCAUCAAUUGGGAAAAUCUCCUUUGGCUAUUGUUCCUUGCGUUAUGCAAUUUCUGUUUAUGGAUCCUUCUAGUUUUGUCACCAUUCAACGGAUGAAUGCACCAACACCCGAAUGGUUCUUUCGAGUCCAUCGUCCUGUUUCAAUAACUCCGACGGGCAGACCAGUCCUUUUGCUUUCGGCUUUUGAUUUCCGAUUGGCAGAAAAACUUGUUAAAGUCGGCAUAUGGAACGAGAAAAAGCAUGACGAGAGUUUUAAGCGAGUUAACCCUAGCAACGAGAAUGUAAUGAUUAUUUCGAUUCAAACGACUGAAGAUUCGCAGCUUUUGAGAUUCAUCCUGCGGCUUAAGAGACUCAAGAUCACACCCAGCACUUGGCAGAAAAAAAACCUUACGCUGGGAAAGGACAGUCCGUGGAUGGCUACAUUCGUCUCACCACUUUACAACGACAACCCACACAUGGAUGUUGAAUCUUUUGAUUCUUCAAGCAGAUCCAUGAAUGACAACAACUGUUGCGCCGCUUGCAAGAAAGUUUCCGAAAGUCUAAAACGCUGCAGCCGUUGCCGAAGCUCUGUUUAUUGCUGCGAGGAAUGCCAACGUGAGCACUGGGCUCAGCAUAAAGUUGGAUGCAAGAAAAUUUAAUUGGAUUCAAUGGAUGGACUGUUCAACAUUUAUCUUUUCGUUAGGCUUUCGCUUAUAUAGCCUGUUUAGUUUGUUUUCCCCUUAAAACUAAGAGCUGUUUUUCAUGCUUAUAAGUAAUUUUUUUUUGUUUUUAAACCAAU